rnacentral:lncRNA from 1 species
UAUUUCUGGACCUCCUUCACUGUUCACUUAUUUGUCUCUCUAUACCUUUACCAGUACCCCCCGGGACAAUUUAGCAAAUGGAAAGCCAGCGGACAAGUGGCAGAAGACCAGAAGUUUAUUCUCUGGAGAAAUGGGCUAAGAGCAGUGCUGGACUCGGGGACACCAGGCCCAGAGAGAUGUUGAGAGAGGGCAAGGCACUACUAGGAAGCCACUGUUUUUCACUGGACAUCGGAUUCUUCUUUCUGCAACAGCCUGAGCAGGUCAGCCUCCCUCUCCCUCUUUUCCUCCUCUCUCUCUCUGUUUUUUUGGUUUGUUUGUUUUGUUUUUUGUUUUGUUUUGUUUUGUUUUACUUCUCUCUCUGUUUUAAAUUGAGGAAUAAUUACAGUGAAAUGCACAGAUAUUAAGCAGAUAGUUGGUGAGCUUUGACAAAGGCGUAUACCUGUGUAACAACGCCCCAAUCAGUGUAGAAAGCACUGCCGUCACAUCCCCCUG